ensembl:lncRNA
GGCUUGUUUGUGCUUGCAACUGCGUAUGUACAGAGCAAUUUAAUGAGUGUAGCUGUUUUCUGCAAUAGUUCUGUUUUCACUUAAACAACCCUACUGCUGAGUUUAGCUUCAGGUUGUUCCUUACCACUUAAACUCAACAGAAGGGGGGCACUCCCAAAGCUGCAAGGACACUGGUUACACAGAAGUGAUGCAGUGAUUCGACUAACUCAUUUUUACAUAAGUUAAUACAACUUUGCUGGGACUUUGGUCUUUCAUUUAAAGAAAAAAAAAAAGAAAACCAACCAGACAAACAACCAACCAACAACUACCAACCACAGCAACAACAACAACAAAAAACCCAACAUCCCUUCCCCCCCCCCCCCGAAAAACCCUCAAAAACCACCAAAACCAGAAAAUGGGACUUUGACAUCCUGGAUCCUUUGGGAAUUUGGAUAUCUAGGGCAGUAGAGUCAUUGAAUGCUACCUUGUGGUAGAAGGGAAACAGAUUUAUCUGGAAUGCAUCUACAUGUAAAGAGAAACACCUCUGGUUUACAUUGAUGUUUUAUUUGAUAAAUGAUCUGCCUUAUCUCCCCACUCUUCUAUUAGUCAGAAAUAAUUAUUUCAUACAAAUGUGUUCUGCUGACAUUAUGGCUUAAGUAAGCUGGAAUUUAUUUCAGAUGGCUUUGGCAUUUAUUGCCUGUUUUACAGAAGCGAAAGAACUCUCUUAAAACUAGUUAUUCUGCUGAGAUGCACUUGAAGUCUCAGCCUCUGAAAAGAGAUCGUGACUUAAAACUUCUCCUGAAGCAUUUAGUCUAGGUUUUCUUCUAACUAUUUUAGGAAUCCUACAUAUUUAAAAUGGGAUAACUGUUGGCCUUGCUUCAGACCAGAGGUCAACCUCAUCCAGUGUCCUGCUUGGCAGUGGCUGUAUCGUGUGCUUCAUGAAGCUUUUCUAGAGUUAUCUUUCCCUAGCAUGUAGCUAAAUCACGUCCUGAAAAGAAACAAAUCUCUGAAGAGGGAUUAAGUGUGUAUCUCUUAGCUUAAAAUGGACUUCUUACUGAGAAAAUGUAUUGGUUUUUCAGACUGGAGGAAAUAGCAUAUUCUUACUAGAAGUAUUGGUUUCAGUGUGACAUUUAGUAAGGGAUUGUCUCUUAAUAUUAAUCAAAUGUAUUGACAGAGUUAAUUUCCUGCAUUAUUGCAGUGAUACAAGCCUUGGAUACUAGUGGUGUUUUCUUUGGGUUAUAUCAUAGUUAAGGUCACGUUCACUGGCUUUCCUCUAAACCAAAUACAGGUUAAUCAUGUCUAUUGAGGAAUUUCCCAAGUCUGUAUUGUAAUAUGAACCUGCUCUGCUGGGUUCAUUACUCAUUUUUGAGUCUCAAAUGAAAUAAUUUUGUCAUAAUCCUAUUUAUAAGAAGGACAUGAAACUUAGGGUUUUUUAUUUUCUGUAUGGACUUUUUUUAUAUUCACUCAUUUAUAGUUUUGUUCAGCAAAGUGAGAGUUCUUCUUUCCAUGUAACAGCAAGAGAUGCAUUUGUUUAAGAAACAAAACAUUGGUUCUUCUCUGUAGAUAUGAUGUGAAGAAGCAGCAUGCUGUACUAGUUGGAUGUAAAAUAGUUUUAGCAUCAUAGACCCCACAGCAGAGAUUUUCUCACCUUAUAUAAGACAAAUACA